CAACACAUACAAACUAAAACUAAAAAAGGCACAAAAAAAAAGACUGAUUAACGUCAUUGUGAGAAAGGAAAAAAUUUCAUCGCAGCGUGCAUCCUCACGCAUAUGCCGUCGGAUCUGUAUACUUCUCCCAUCUGCACGUUGACUCGAAGGUCCAUCCAGUAACAGGAUGAAACGCGUCGUAGUUUCGGUGCGCCUCACCACACACAAUCUAGCACCAAUAAAGAAGACGAGAUCCGCUACAUGCAGGAUCAUAAGCUCUGUUCGUGUGCCCUCCCUCCAGCCUAUCACGGUUAGCUAUGCGUCUAGGCGCAACAAGCCCCUGCCCUCGUCCAACCAAUUCUCGCCACCUGUCCAGAAUUUCCCAAGCAAGCCACACACG
rnacentral:lncRNA from 1 species